AGAGGCGCUGAAUACCGGGAGUCUCCCGGUAAAAACGGGAGGGUUGGCAAGUAUGCUGACCAAGAGUGAACAUUUGCAACGGAACUUGUGACGUAUUGCCCUCCAAAAAGCGGGAGAGUGAAGUGGAAGCAUCACUCCAGACAGGCAGGCAAAGAAGGCACUGCAUUGCAAUGUUGGUUCCUGUAAAAUGUGGUCAAACCCAGAGAUACGUGGCUGAAACUGAAGGGGGCUUUGACCAUUUUGGCACGUUUAUUAAGAAGGUCAUAGAUAAGAUGGGUCUUCCACUUGAGACUCAGCUUUCAUUGACCAAUGGGACGGGAACAGAAAUGGAUGCUGAUGUGUUUGAGGACCUGUUAAAAAUGGCGAACCUUACCAUAAAUGUGUCUGCAGAAAGGUUUGUUUCCACAAGUUUGCUAACAUUACUAAGUAAAAAAAAAAAAAGGCCCCCGGGCCGCACUUUGGAUACCACUCUUCUGAAGAACGUCGGAGUUCUACAGGCUGGCGAUGAAAACCAGAAGUCAGAAGUCCACAGCAAGAAAACAAAGAAGUAAACAAAAGAGGAAGUGAUGUUGGAGGAGAGAAGAAGACCUCCUCACCUUCUGCCCACAGAAGAAAGAGGCCUUUCAUCACCUGCCGUGUAAUUAGCCCGCCCUGCGAUCCCUUCC